AGGAAAAAAAAAAAGCAAAAGAAAAAGGAAAAGGACAACACUGGAAAUGCUCCCCUGCUUGCUUGUCUCUUUCCAAAUACUACAUACUAUUUGAAGCCUUGUGGCCAUCCUGCUUGCUGCAGCCAUCUGAAACCCUAAUGUAUCGUUCCAAAUAGAUCAUCGUUUCACAUUUUCCUGCACAGUGAGUCACGAGUGCCUCCCUCUCCGCCGUUUUCGGAUUCGCCGGAUCGAGAGGCAACGACGAUUCAAUCUUGAAAUAAGCUUUCGGUCCAUAUGGCGAAUCCAGUUGAGGAACUAACCUCCAUUUCUUCAUCAGUGGCAACAUCAUCCACCAAACGCAGAAUUCAGAUUUUUCGCAAUGAGAUCCCGUCCAUUCUCACUAAUUCUGAGAUGACCACUGAAAUUGCUUCCCUGUUGGUAGAAGUAAUUUUCAGUACAACAUUUAUUUAUGAUGAUCGAGGAUCAAGGGCUGCAGUGGAUGAUGUGGUUAAGAAAGCAUUGGGUGAAACUUUAUUUAUGAGAGCUUUUGCUGGAACCCUUGUGCAAUUCAUGGAAAAACAGUUCAAAUUCCAAUCCUAUAUAGGGUGCCACAGACUCUUAAGUUGGUCUUGUCUUCUCCUAACUAAUAGCCAGUUUUCCUCAGUGUCAAAGAAUGCAAUGUGUCGACUAGCACAAGCACAAGCAUCAGUCUUGCAUAUUGGUAUGCAAGGAUCCUCCCAUGUUAGACGGACCUGCAAAAAAAUCUUGUUCUUUUUGUUUUCAAAGGCACCAGAUAUUUACAGAACUUUCAUGGAUGAACUAAGGGAUUCAAGGAUCACUUACAAGGAUUGUCCUGAGCUUACACUCUUGAUGCUAGAAUUUUCAAGUGCAAAUCCACCUUCAUUUGAUCAAUGGAAGCAAAAUUUUCUUGAGAUGUAUGUUAAUGCUGUUCUAAAUUCAAGAGAAAAGCCACCAAAGGGCCUCAGUGAUGCUUUCAUUCCAUUAUUUUCCCGUUUGACACAUGAAGAUUUUAAGACCACUGUCAUUCCCUCAUCUGUCAAGAUGUUGAAACGAAAUCCGGAGAUUGUCUUGGAAUCAGUUGGGAUCCUUCUGCAAUCUGCUAAACUUGAUUUGAGUAAAUAUGCUGUAGAGAUUCUUUCAGUGUUACUGCCACAGGUGAGACAUGCAGAUGAAUAUAGAAGGAUUGCUGCUGUAUCCAUCGUAAGGUGCUUAAGCAUAAAAUCUAGCAGUCCAGAUGCUAUAGAAGCUAUGUUUAAUGCAGUCAAAUUGGUUAUUGGAGGUUCAGAAGGAAGGCUUACAUUUCCCUAUCAGAGAGUUGGCAUGAUAAAUGCACUGCAAGAAUUGUCAAAUUCUCCAGAAGGAAAACACCUUAACAGCUUGUCAAAGACUAUUUGUAAUUUCCUCUUGUCUUGUUACAAGGAUGAUGGUAAUGAAGAGGUCAAGCUUGCAUGUUUAUCUUGUUUGGCUGCUUGGACUUCAAAAUGUGCUGAUGCAAUUCAGCCCGAUGUUAUAUCUCUCAUUGCGUCAGGUCUCAAAGAGAAGGAAACACUUAGAAGAGGUCAUCUUCGCUGCCUGCGAGUAAUGUGCCAAAGUGCUGAUGUUCUUCCACAGAUGUCCUCGCUGCUGGCAGCUCUUAUACAACUUGUUAAAACUGGUUACACGAAAGCAGCACAGCGGUUGGAUGGCAUCUAUGCAUUGCUCUGUGUGUCAAAACUUGCUGCAGUGGAUGUUAAAGCAGAUGAGACUAUAAUAAAGGAGAAAAUUUGGUCAUUGGUAUCACAGAAUGAGCCGCAAGUGGUGCCAAUUCCUCUGGCCUCAAAAUUAUCAAUCGAGGACUGUUUGGCUUGUCAUGACCUUUUUGAGGUGAUGCUGGUGGAUCAUUCACAAAGGGUAUUGGAGACUUUUGCUGCCAAGACGUUAAUGCAGUUUAUACUCUUUUUACUAUGCCAUCCAAAUUGGGAUAUCCGGAGAGCAGCUUAUAAUUCUACAAGGAGGAUACUUUCUGCUACCCCACAGUUAUCUGAAACUUUAAUGGUUGAGUUUUCGUGUUAUCUCUCUGUUGUUGGUGAAAAGGUUCUUCAAAUGAAGAUGAGUGAUACUGAAAAUUUAGUGGAUGCUCAAGUUCCAUUUGUUCCAUCUGUUGAGGUUAUGGUCAAGACGUUGAUUAUAAUGUCGUCUGCUACUUUGGCUGCUGCACCAAGUGCGUGUUUGCAAGUUGUUUUCUGCUCCCAUCAUCCAUGUAUUGGUACAGCAAAAAGAAAUUCUGUGUGGAGGAGGGUGCAAAAAUGUUUGCAUAAACAUGGUGUUGAUGUCAUUGGUCUUGUCACAGCUAAUGUGGUUGGUUUGUGCAAGGGUUUGUUGGGACCAACUGGUCUGAUGAGUGGUAAUCAUUUUGCACAAGAAGCAGCAAUAAACUCCUUAUCAACUUUGAUGUCCAUGUUACCUGGAGAAACCUACAUGGAGUUCGAGAAGUACUUCAACAAUCUUCCAGACCAUUCGGCACAUGAUAUGUUAUCUGAAAACGACAUUCAGAUAUUUCAAACUCCUGAAGGAACACUUUCCACUGAACAAGGUGUUUACAUUGCUGAAUCUGUUGCAACUAAGAACACAAAACAACCAAAAGGCCGUUUUAGGCUUUAUGAUAACAAUGAUGCUGACCAAAUGAGUUCUAAUCAUACUGCAAGGCGUGAACCCUCUAGCAAAGAGGUUACUGGAGCUGGGAAAAAAGAUGGUGGCAAAUCAUCAAAGAAAGCUGAUAAAGACAAGGGAAAAAGUGCAAAGGAAGAGGCACGUGAGGUGCAGCUAAGGGAGGAGGCAUAUAUACGUGAAAAGGUCAUGGUUGUAAAAAAUAAUCUUUCGGCAAUGUUGAAAGCUUUGGGAGAAAUGGCCAUAGCUAAUCCUGUCUUCACUCACAGUCAGCUACCUUCCUUGGUGAAGUUUAUCAAUCCUGUAUUACGGUCACCAAUAGUUGGUGAUGUGGCGUAUGAAACCCUCGUGAAGCUUUCAAAGUGUACUGCUACUCCACUUUGUAACUGGGCUCUUGAGAUUGCAACAGCUUUGAGGUUAAUUAUGUCAGCGGAUGCUAAUGUCUUAUGGGGUCAAAUUCCUUGUGCUGGUGAAGAGGUAUCAAAUGGAAGGCCUGGUCUCUUUGAGUGUGUAACAAACGGUUUAUCCAUCUCCUGCAAAACUGGGUCUCUCCCUGUGGAUUCAUUUACUUUUGUUUUCCCUAUAAUGGAGAGAAUAUUGUUAUCUCCCAAGAAGACCAGACUUCAUGAUGAUGUUCUCAAGAUAAUAUUCUUGCAUUUGGAUUCGUUCUUACCCCUACCUAGAGUUCAAAUGCUCUCAGUUCUUUAUCAUGUCCUGGGUGUUGUUCCUGCUUAUCAAGCAACUAUUGGACCGGCAUUAAAUGAGUUAUGCCUUGGGGUGAAAUCAGAUGAAGUGGCACCUGCUUUAUGUGGUAUUUAUGCUAAAGACAGCCAUGUAAGAAUGGCUUGCUUAAAUGCUGUGAAGUGCAUUCCUGCUCUGGCUAGUCAUUCUGUCCCUCAAAGUAGUGAAAUUGCCACCCGUAUCUGGCUUGCUUUACAUGAUCCUGAAAAGUGUGUUUCUGAAGCUGCUGAAGACAUCUGGGAUCAUUACGGGUAUGACUUAGGAACAGAUUACUCUGGAAUUUUCAAAGCUCUUUCCCAUGUUAAUUAUAAUGUGCGAGUGGCUGGCGCUGAGGCCUUGGCUGCUGCUUUAGAUGAAAGUCCAGAUGCGAUACAGGAAUGUCUUUCAACUUUAUUUUCCUUGUACAUCCGUGAUGUUGGUUCUGGUGAAGACAGCAUUGAUUUUGGCUGGAUAGGAAGACAAGGAAUAGCAUUGGCUUUACUUUCUGUGGCAGAGGUUCUUAGAGCAAAAGACCUUCCCGUUGUUAUGACAUUCCUAAUUUCAAGGGCACUGGCAGAUCCUAAUGCAGAUGUUAGAGGAAGAAUGAUCAAUGCCGGCAUAGUUAUUAUUGACAAACAUGGAAGAGAGAAUGUCUCAUUGCUAUUCCCUAUUUUCGAAAACUACUUGAACAAAAAGGCUUCAGAUGAGGAGAAAUAUGAUCUGGUCCGUGAAGGUGUGGUAAUAUUUACUGGUGCCUUAGCUAAGCAUUUGGCCAAGGAUGACCCUAAGGUUCACACAGUUGUAGAGAAGUUGCUGGAUGUACUGAAUACUCCUUCUGAAGCUGUUCAGCGAGCUGUCGCUACCUGCCUUUCUCCACUUAUGCAAGCAAAACAGGAGGAUGCACCAUCUCUGGUUUCUAGGCUUUUGGACCAGCUAAUGAAGAGUGACAAAUAUGGAGAGCGUCGUGGUGCAGCAUUUGGACUUGCAGGGCUGGUGAAGGGAUUUGGAAUAUCUUGCCUGAAGAAAUAUGGCAUUGUAGCAGCAUUACAUGAAGGUUUUGCUGACAGGAAUUCGGCUAAGAGCCGUGAAGGAGCACUGCUUGCAUUUGAAUGCUUCUGUGAGAAGCUCGGGAAGUUGUUUGAACCGUAUGUAAUUCAAAUGUUUCCGUUCCUCUUGGUUUCUUUCUCUGAUCAAGUGGUUGCGGUGCGUGAUGCUGCUGAAUGCGCUGCUCGGGCAAUGAUGUCUCAGCUUAGUGCUCAAGGAGUGAAACUAAUUCUUCCAUCACUUUUAAAGGGCCUUGAAGAUAAGGCUUGGAGAACCAAACAGAGUAGUGUACAACUUCUUGGUGCCAUGGCGUACUGUGCUCCGCAGCAAUUGUCGCAGUGUCUCCCUAAGAUUGUACCCAAGUUAACUGAGGUGCUUACUGACACUCAUCCUAAGGUUCAAUCAGCUGGACAGACGGCCCUUCAACAGGUCGGGAGUGUAAUAAAGAACCCUGAGAUAUCUGCACUUGUCCCUACUCUUCUAAUGGGUCUUACAGAUCCUAAUGAGCAUACAAAAUACUCCCUUGAUAUUCUCCUCCAGACAACUUUUGUGAAUUCAAUUGAUGCUCCUUCUCUCGCGCUGCUAGUACCGAUUGUACACCGAGGGCUUCGUGAAAGGAGUGCUGAGACUAAGAAGAAAGCUGCACAAAUUGCUGGAAAUAUGUGUUCAUUAGUGACAGAGCCGAAGGACAUGAUACCCUACAUAGGACUACUGCUCCCUGAAGUUAAAAAGGUACUUGUGGAUCCAAUACCUGAAGUUCGAUCAGUUGCUGCCAGAGCUAUUGGUUCUCUUAUACGAGGGAUGGGAGAAGAAAAUUUCCCUGACCUGGUGCCUUGGUUGUUGGAUACUUUGAAGUCUGAUGGAAGCAAUGUUGAGCGUUCUGGGGCUGCACAGGGACUAAGUGAGGUAUUGGCUGCAUUAGGAGUGGAGUACUUUGAGAACAUACUUCCUGAUAUAAUACGAAAUUGUUCUCAUCAAAAGGCAUCUGUUCGUGAUGGGCACUUGGCACUCUUUAGGUAUCUGCCAAGAUCCUUAGGCGUCCAAUUCCAGAACUAUUUGCAACAAGUUCUGCCAGCUAUCUUAGAUGGUUUGGCCGAUGAGAAUGAAUCUGUGCGUGAAGCAGCACUCAGUGCUGGCCAUGUUCUGGUGGAACACUAUGCAACUACAUCUUUGCCCCUGCUUCUUCCAGCUGUGGAAGAAGGUAUUUUCAAUGAUAACUGGCGUAUCAGGCAGAGUUCUGUAGAGUUGCUGGGUGACCUUCUGUUCAAGGUUGCUGGAACAUCUGGAAAAGCACAUCUUGAGGGUGGUAGUGAUGAUGAGGGUGCCAGUACUGAGGCUCAAGGACGAGCUAUUAUUGAGGUACUCGGUAGGGACAAGCGCAAUGAAAUCCUUGCCGCAUUGUAUAUGGUCCGAACUGAUGUCAGCAUAACCGUCCGCCAGGCUGCUUUGCAUGUUUGGAAGACCAUUGUUGCAAAUACUCCGAAAACGUUGAAGGAGAUAAUGCCUGUCCUGAUGAGCACAUUGAUAAGUUCUCUAGCAUCUUCAUCCUCUGAAAGGAGACAGGUUGCUGGACGAGCAUUGGGUGAGCUUGUUAGGAAGCUUGGAGAAAGAGUCCUUCCCUUGAUUAUCCCAAUAUUGUCAAGGGGUCUAAAAGAUUCUAAUCCAAGUAGAAGACAAGGUGUCUGCAUUGGUCUAAGUGAAGUAAUGGCCAGUGCUGGCAGGAGUCAAUUGUUGAUUUAUAUGGAUGAGCUUAUCCCCACAAUUCGGACAGCACUUUGUGAUAGUAUUGCUGAGGUUCGUGAAUCAGCAGGCUUGGCUUUUAGUACUCUUUACAAGAAUGCUGGAAUGCAAGCAAUAGAUGAGAUUGUCCCAACACUUCUUCAUGCACUAGAGGAUGAAGAGACCUCAGAUACUGCUCUGGAUGGCUUAAAACAAAUUCUGAGUGUCAGGACCACAGCUGUGCUGCCACACAUUCUCCCAAAGCUCGUUCAUUUUCCGCUUUCUGCCUUCAAUGCACAUGCUUUGGGAGCUUUAGCGGAAGUUGCAGGACCUGGUCUUGAUUCCCACCUUAGUACUAUCCUUCCUGCUUUACUGAAUGCAAUGGGUUAUGCUGACAUGGAAGUUCAAAGUUUAGCAAAGAAGGCAGCAGAAACUGUUGUGUCAGUUAUUGACGAGGAAGGCAUGGAGUCUUUGUUGUCAGAACUACUGAAAGGAGUUGGGGAUAGUCAGGCUUCAAUUAGACGAAGUUCCGCGUAUCUUAUUGGAUACCUGUUCAAAAAUAGCGACUUACAUCUUGGUGAUGAAGCUCCAAACAUGUUAUCCAGCCUCAUUAUAUUGCUUAGUGAUUGGGAUUUUGAUACUGUGUUGGUUGCAUGGCAAGCUCUGUCUAAUGUUGUUAGUUCAGUUCCUAAAGAGGUUCUUCCAACAUAUAUCAAGUUGGUUCGUGAUGCUGUAUCUACAUCAAGAGACAAGGAACGUAGAAAGAAAAAGGGAGGAGCAGUUCUUAUACCUGGAUUUUGUCUUCCGAAAGCUCUUCAGCCAUUGCUUCCUGUUUUUCUCCAGGGUCUCAUAAGUGGAUCGGCAGAACUAAGGCAGCAAGCAGCUUUAGGUCUUGGUGAGUUAAUUGAAGUGACAAGCGAGAAGACACUAAAGGAGUUUGUGAUUCCUAUCACAGGACCCUUGAUUCGUAUUAUAGGUGACAGAUUUCCUUGGGAAGUGAAGAGCGCAAUUCUAUCGACACUGAGCAUCAUAAUUCGAAGGGGUGGAAUAGCCCUAAAGCCCUUUCUUCCCCAGCUUCAAACAACAUUUGUCAAGUGCCUACAGGAUAACACAAGGACAAUACGAUCGAGUGCUGCUAUAGCGCUUGGGAAGCUUAGUGCUCUCAGUACCAGAGUUGAUCCUUUAGUUGGUGAUCUAUUAUCUGGUGUGCAGACAUCAGAUGCUGGAAUUCGUGAGGCUACUCUAACUGCUUUGAAAGGUGUGAUUAAGCAUGCUGGUGAAAGUGUCAGCAUUGCUUCUAGAACACGUGUCUAUAUCCUACUGAAGGAUUUAAUACACAAUGAUGAUGAUCAAAUAAGAAAUUCUGCUGCAAGCAUACUGGGAAUUGUUUCACAGUACCUGGGAGACGGACAAGUUGUUGAAGUACUUGAUGGGCUGUCAAAAUCAACUUCAUCAUCUAACUGGUGCUCAAGGCAUGGAGCGGUGCUUACUAUUUGUUCAAUGCUUAAGCACAAUCCUGACAUAAUUUGUGCUUCUUCAUCAUUCCCAUUGAUUGUAAACUGCCUCAAAAUCACCUUAAAUGAUGAAAAGUUUCCUGUUCGUGAAACAUCAACGAGAGCGUUGGGAUUGCUUCUACGUCAACAAAUCCAGAGCGAUCCUUCAAAUGCUACUUCACAUGUGGAAACUCUGGGAUCCAUAGUGUUGGCCAUGCAGGAUGAUUCAAGUGAAGUCAGAAGACGGGGCUUAUCUGCAGUGAAGGCAGUUUCAAAAGCCAAUCCUGGUGCCAUUGCCAUCCAUGUUUCAAAAUUUGGCCCUGUUCUGGCUGACUGUUUGAAGGAUGGAAACACAUCCGUGAGACUUGCUGCAGAGAGGUGUGCCCUGCAUGCCUUUCAAUUGGCAAAAGGUACAGAAAAUGUUCAAGCUGCACAGAAGUUUAUUACAGGCUUGGAUGCUAGACGAAUAGCAAAGCUCCCUGAGCACAGUGAUGAGAGUGGAGAUAGCGAUAAGGACGCCUCAAGUGGCUGACAAGAUUAUGACCGUAAAUCACUCUUUUGCCUCCAAACUACUUAUCCUCAAGGUGUGUAUGUCAUUAUAUUGCAGAUACCAACUUCAGAAAACCUGUUUUCUGGUGGUUAUUCACAAAUAAAGACAUACGAGACUGUUUGGUUCAGGAAGACGUGACAAAUGAUUUCAUAUCUCAGCAUUCUUUUUUUUAUCCUGGUUAUUCACUUCAAAUUGACUUGAAGGUUCAAAUUCCGGUUUCCUCAGAAAGGGAAAUUUCUUGCCAAGCUGGGAUAUUGUUGUAGGUACGUAUUCAGUAAGAUGCAAAGCCACUAUGUUUUCCUCAACAUUACAUCAUAACAGUACAUGUUGAGUUUAAGUUAUGUGUGUAAAAUCAUUUGUGCGGUUUGUAUUGUUGGCAACUGGCGUAUUCCAUAUUUUCCCUUUUCAAUCAGUUGAGUAAUAGCAGUAAACAGGCUUGAAUAUAACCUGUAAUCGGGUCCUGAAUUAAUGUCAUUUUGGUUUGAUUGCCUCGUCUCUCGAAUGAGGUCAUGUAACCCACAAUCGAAUGAAAUAAUAUUUAUGUGCGUUGUCCAA